CAGCCGCCGCGGUAAUACGUAGGCGGCAAGCGUUGUCCGGAAUUAUUGGGCGUAAAGGGAGCGCAGGUGGGACGGUAAGUCCGUCUUAAAAGGCAGGGGCUCAGCCCCUGUAAGGGAUGGAAACUAUCGAUCUUGAGUGCCGGAGAGGAAAGCGGAAUUCCCAGUGUAGCGGUGAAAUGCGUAGAUAUUGGGAAGAACACCAGUGGCGAAGGCGGCUUUCUGGACGGCAACUGACACUGAGGCUCGAAAGCCAGGGGAGCGAACGGGAUUAGAUACCCGGGUAGUCCCUGUCUCUUAUACC
rnacentral:rRNA from 1 species